UUGACCGCUCCCUGCGCAGUGAGAGCGGCGAGGACUGCGUGGUGAUCCUGGAUGACGAUGAGGACGUGCAGGAGAUCCCGGAUGACGGCGAUGGCAGUGGCGUGGAAGAGGUCCCGACUGAGGAGCCCCCCAAUCCCCCCGUGGGACAGAAGGACCCCAACAGGGGCAGAAUUUAAUUGGGGGGGGGGGAUUUGGGGGUGCUGCACAUCUCCACCCCCCACUCCCCCCUCAGCAUUGCGGGUAACGAGGGGCUGGGGGCCCCCAACACAGCUCAGGGUGUUUGAAGGCCUUUCACCCCCCCUUCCCCCCCAAACCUUUCAGGAGCCCCCCCUCCAGGGACCUGGGGGGUGGGGGGGGUCCCCCCUAAAUCCUUCCCCCCCCCCCCACCACACACAAGGGGAGAAACACAACCAUUUCCUGACCAUUUUUGUACAUGUUGGGUUAAAAAACUUGUAAAAUUUUCUUUUUAUAUCUAAAAAUAUAUUAUAAUAAAGAGAAAGUUUUAAGAGAUUCA